UGCCACCGAGUGAGCGACUUGACGCCGGCCUGUCAAGUCGCCCGAUCGUUCGCGGGCGAUCCCGCGGAGCGCGCGAAAAGAGAAUUUCGCAAUAAUGGUUACGUGAGACGUCUCGCCGCCGCCGACACAGCACACGACAAUUUUGCUGGCGCUCGCGUCGGUAGCGUUGGUUGUAUCCGUGGUCGGCGCGACAUUGACGCCCAAAGCGCCGAACUUUCAAUACUUCGAAAGACCCAAGUAUAGAUAUCCGUAUUACGACGAACAUGGCCGCGGCCGGCUUUUGUACGGAUACGGUGGACAGGAACUGUACCAAUACAAGUCAUACUCGCCCUUGGAGGGCAUUCACUGACGACCGCAUUAAAUAAACUCACCAACGCUCCGUAACCGACCUGCCAGCCAUCACCGUGGCACCGUGAUGGCGGUCUUUUCGUUUCACCCGCCGUUCAGACGUGUCCCAGUAGUAGUGUUUUCGGUGUUUUAACAAUAAGCGUGUAAUUUUUUUGAAUACACAAUAUCAUUAGACGAUGAAUAGUGUUUUUUUUUAAAUAAAUUUAAAAAAAAAGCUUAAAAACCCUUAAAUUUAAUUUAAUAAUAAUAAUGUCGGUUUAUGUAAAAUUAGAAUAUUGUAAAACUAAGAGAAAUCCUCUGACGAGGCUCGCUGGUGGUUCGAAUGUUACCAAAAAUUGGCAGCAGACGCGUUUGCAUUCUUUUACGAAUUUGAUAUAAAUAUGUUUUAAAAAAAAUAAAACCGAUGGAAAGCUGUAAAAAAAAAAAAAAAUGCAAACGCCAACAUCGGUUCUAGAAAUUCGUAAACGAAUAGCCCAAUCGAAAAAAUAACGGUCUGCCGUCCGGUUGUAUCUUAAUAAGUAGAAUCGUAUAUUAUGUUAAAUUUUAAGCAAAAAAAA